GUGCUCACUUGGGCAGCACAUAUGCUAAAAUUGGAAUGAUACAGAGAAGAUUACCAUGGCCCCUGCACAAGGAUAACAUGCAAAUUCAUAAAGCAUUCCAUAGUUUU
rnacentral:snRNA from 1 species